GAAGUUGAGAGCCUUAUGGAGGGGAGAGAAAUUAAGAAAGGAAACGCUAUCUUGGGAUUGUCACCGUUUUUAGACUCCAGAGGACUUCUUCGUGUUGGAGGAAGAUUGAGGCGUGGAACCAAAUCACUUCGGCAGAUUGAAACUUGUCCUAUUUUGAGACCGAAGGGAAGUCAUUUAGCAACCUUAUUAGCUCUGCAUUGUCAUGAACAGGUCUUUCAUCAAGGUCGACGCCUCACAGGAGGGAAACUUCACAGCAUGGGAUUCUGGAUAGUGGGAGCGAAAAGGUUAAUCAACAGUCUUCAGGGGAAAUGUGUCACCUGCAAAAGAUUGCGUGGUACAUUCUGCUCUCCUAAAAUGGCUGAACUUCCUGAAGACCGUUUAAGUCCUGGACCCCCUUUUACUUACGUCAGAGUAGAUGUAUUCGGUCCGUGGAGCAUAACCGCACGCAAAACGAGGGGAAGUCACGUAACGCAGAAAAGAUGGGCUGUACUUUUCACGUGUUUAACCAGCAGGGCAGUCCACAUCGAAAUCUCAGAGGAACUCAGCACUUCAAGUUUCAUCAAUGCGAUGAGGCGCUUUAUCGCCAUUCGAGGACCAGUCAAGAUCUUUAGAUCAGAUCGUGGCACCAACUUUGUCGGUGGAGUCAAAGAGUUGGGGAUGAAGAACGUUGUAACCGAAGAUGCCUCUGUCAAGAACUUCUCAGCGGAAAACAGCUGUGUUUGGAUUUUCAACCCACCACAUGCUUCUCAUUUCGGAGGCGUGUGGGAGCGAAUGAUCGGAAUCACGCGAAGGAUUCUAGAUGGGAUCUUGCUGAGCAAAAAGUACAUCAAAGAUCUUACUCAUGAAGUGCUUGUUACCCUCAUGGCUGAAAUCAGCGCUGUCAUGAACUCCAGACCAAUUGCGGCAAUAUCCACAGAUCCUGAUGACCCGUCCAUAUUAGCGCCAGCCAGUCUUUUGACCCAAAAGGUUGGAACACCACCAGAUGACAUCCCUCAGUUUGGUAUCAAAGAUAUAUACAAGUCACAGUGGCAGAGAGUCCAGGUGAUGGCAGAUGAGUUCUGGAAAAAGUGGCAGAAAGAGUACCUGACAGGACUUCAGAACAGGAGAAAGUGGGCGACGGACCAACCUAACCUAAAGACAGGAGACAUUGUUCUGUUACGUGAGUACCAUUCUGGAUGCAACUCAUGGCCGACUGCCAUGAUCAAACAGACUUUCCCGGGAGCUGAUGAAAGAGUGCGAGAAGCGGAGAUCCGUUUGUUUAGAGGAGAAAAAGAGUUCACUUACGUCCGUCCCGUUCAUGAACUUGUGCCAUUGAUCACUGAUUGAAUUAACACUGCUUUGUACAUUCACAAACUGCUCUAAUGUGUUUUCAUUGUUUGUGUUUUGAUGAGUAAGAAUGAUUGUUUUCUCAUUACCCUUUAUGUAAGGUCUUUUUAAUUGUCAGUUUAUUUUGAAUUAUUUCAUUAGGGUGAUUUUUUUGUAAAAUCAGGAGGGGAGUGUAGUGCCCCGGAAUUAUUCUUUCCGGAUUUGUUGGUUUUUACUUUAUUUUUAUUGUAAACCGGAAACGAUCUAAGGCAUCAGUGCCAACCUCGUGGGUUCCAGAACCCAGCAUAUUUUACUGUGUUUAAAGCCACCUAUGAAAUUCCUCAGGUAAGCAGUGCAGCUUUGGUGGUGGUGUAUGAUAAUGGAGACCCAGCUGACAUCCACUACUUAGACUCUGUCAAGUGCCAG